UCGAGAGGCUUUGUCAAUGGGGGAAACCCUGAACAAGCGACGCCGCGUGGAGGAUGAAGGCCCUUGGGUUGUAAACUCCUUUUGUUGGGGAAGAAAUGCGAUCAGGUGAACAAUCUGGUCGUUUGACGGUACCCGACGAAUAAGCUCCGGCUAACUCCGUGCCAGCAGCCGCGGUAACACGGGGGGAGCAAGCGUUGUUCGGAAUCACUGGGCGUAAAGGGCGUGUAGGCGGUUGGGUAAGUGGGAUGUGAAAUGCCUCGGCUCACCCGAGGAUCGGCAUCCCAAACUGCCCGACUUGAGUAUGGGAGAGGAUGAGGGAAUUCCUGGUGUAGCGGUGAAAUGCGUAGAUAUCAGGAGGAACACCGGUGGCGAAGGCGCUCAUCUGGCCCAAUACUGACGCUGAGGCGCGAAAGCUAGGGGAGCAA
rnacentral:rRNA from 1 species